rnacentral:lncRNA from 1 species
CCUUCCGGUCUAAAUGGUAAACUCCUCUGCAUUGUAAGUCAGUGUCUAGAGUGGUGAUUUGCUUUCUGGGGUGUGUUUUUCACAGUGAUGGUGGAUCCACAAAUUUCAAACAAAUUCUUUCUCCACCAGUUCUGUUCGGUUCUAUUUUGGUGGGGCCCACGCGUCAUCACAGAGUAUCUGGGAGCCCUGCCCUCUUGCAGAUGGGAAUGAAGGCCCAGGUGCUCUGGAGAGGUGACUCUCCUCUAGAAAGGAAACACUGGUUCUGUAAACCUGUUUGAGAAGAAAAGCUCGAGGUUUCUUGGCCUCUCUGCUUCUGGAGCCAGGGGAAAAAAUAGCCCCAGGCUGAAGACAGGAGGGACCAGAUUGCUGCUUGGUGAUGCGAUCUCACUGCAGAGGCAGCCAGGAGACCCUCCUGAGACGAAUCGGAGAGUCCAUGCUGCUUUUACACACAUCCUAGUUCUUUUAUAACUAGCCUUUUCCUAUUAACGGACAUCAUUCAAAAGCCAGUUUUAAGCAACAUAAAUAUUGAAAACAAUACUAUACUAUUUAGAAUUAAUUAUAAGUUUUGUUUUUAAAGCCUAAAUCUUUUAUUGUUGUUUGAACCCUGGGCACUGAAGCUAAUAAUGUAACUUUUCUCCCUUCUUUCUUCUUUGGCAUAGAUUUAAAGAACUGUUAGACUCAUUUAAAAUGCUAUUAGGCAUUUUAAAGAGUAAUUGUUAAAUGUGUUGUCUCUUGUGGGACUGGAAAUGUUCUGUUCUUAUCUGGCGCUGGUUACAUCCUGUUUUUCAUUUGGGAAAGUGCAUUGAGCUGGAAAUUUAUAUGUUCAAUUUCUGUAUGUAAAUUGUACUUCAGUAAAAAUUUUCAAAAAA